rnacentral:rRNA from 1 species
AUGUGCAUUCCUACAACAUUAAUGCAUCAAAUCCCAUCAAAACUCUGUAGUUAAGUGCUCUUGGGAUAGAUUAGUACUAGGAUAGGUGACCUCCCAGAAAUUCCUAGUGUUUUACGUG